rnacentral:lncRNA from 1 species
GGCUCCACCGUAUAUCAUGAGUUGCCUCAGGGAUACCAUCCCCAACCCGAACUGCUGAGGUUUCUUAAUCAACAGCCAGUGUUCGUUCCUCAGCUAGCUCUGGGGAACCAAAUGCAGAAUCAGAAUUGGUACUCAAGUGGAAAGCAAAACUCUUAUGCUCAAAAAGGUCAGAAAAAAUCAAAGAGGCCAGAGAAACAGUUUGACCUGAUUCCCAUGUCGUAUGGUCGAAUUCUCCCUCUUUUGCUCAACAGAUCAUUGGUGAGGUUAAGGGUACUAGGACCUCCUCCAACACCUCUUCCCUUGAACUACGACAU